AGGAGAAGAUGGAGGCUGCCGAGGAGCGCAGGAAGACUAAAGAAGAAGAAAUAAGAAAAAGGCUAUGGAGUGACCGACUUUUGCCUUCAGCCAAUCAUUCAGAUUCAGCUGAAUUAGGAGGGGCCGAGGUUGCAUUUUCCAAAGGACUUCAAAGGGUGAGGUCUGCUGGAUUUGAACCAUCUGACCUGCAGGGAGGAAAACCAUUGAAGAGGAAGAAGAGUAAAAGUGAUGCAACCUUGAAUGACAUAAACGAAAGUGAUGAAAGUUUUGGGGUCGUGGAGUCAGACAUGUCCUACAACCAAGCAGAUGACAUAGUCUACUAAGCCAUUUUUUGUGAAUUUCAUAAGAAAGCAUUCAUUCUCCCCGUUUGUGAAAUUUGUAGUAUGUCUCAUAAUCUUUGACUGACCUCAUUCCACUGGGAUUUCUGCCUUGGGCUUAAGAAUGAUUGUGUGGGCUGCACAGGCUGAAGGUUAGCUGAGUAAAUUAAGUAGCUAUGCUAGUUUUUAAAAAAAGAGCGAGGGGGAGACUUGACCAGCAUAGAUAUUUGGCACUCUCCUUUGUGUGGCUUCAAACAUUAUGGAGAUGUCUUUAAUUUAUAAGUGCCUUCAGUUCACAUUAAUAAGUUC
rnacentral:lncRNA from 1 species